AUUUAUUUUAAAUUCUAUUUUCCCCCUCUUUCGUUGCAAAACUGCAAGACGAUGUACAGUCAGUACGCGGCAAUGAGGCCAAUUAUGAGUUGAACAGCCUGUCAUCUCCAAAGUUUCCACAAGCUCUCAUUGUCUCAGUUCAGUACGCACCCAUAUCGUCUAAAGAAUUGCCUAGGCCAAAUAACUGUAACGAUUAGCGAAUCCCCAAGGUGCGCAACAUCAGCGCAACUUCGCAGUGACCUUCAGUAUGAGGUCGUUAGCCCAGAAACCCACAACUGCAUCUUUUCAACCGACUUAGAGGAGCACCCUACAACCAAUCUUCACCAUGAUACAUAAUGAAACAAUUUUCUAAGGGGUCUCCUUUCAUUGAAAAUCUGAUACACAAUGCCAGGAACGUCAGGACUGAUGGUCAAUGGAAUAGUGAAAACAGUCAUCAAGGUUCUAUUUAAAUAUCCUUUUAUGCCCUCUAUCUAGGUAUGUUGCGCAGGCUCUUUAAAGCAAGUAAAUGCCUGCUUUGUGUUGGUCAGGAAGUUGAGUUGUCAACAAAUGGCAAAACAAUGAUUGUUGUGCAUACACAGCAUCAAGCCCCGACGACUCCCAUAGACCACUUUUGAUAUUCCAGAAUACAGAUUGGUUUUCAAGCGCCAAAUUUUAGCCCUGUCGAGGAUUCUUUGUCAAACUGCUACACCAAUUGAAGAGAAAAGGAAAACAGCCACCUCGAAUUUCAAGGAAAAAUCUAUACAAAGGUCUCCAAGAGAGGCCUCAUUAAUUGCUUCUUAACGGUUGCCGAUUUGAUGUCCCUUGACAAUUAGGGACCUUGGAAUCUGAAUAGUUCUGGGGAAGAUUCAAGGUUCAAGGAGCCCGCUAACAACAGGAGUGAUAAUAAGCAUAAGGGA
rnacentral:sRNA from 2 species